GGGGGUGUUCCGGUUUCGACUGGUACGGUUCGGGGUACAGGCUGCAGGUGGAGUGUCGAUCUCCUGAUUCGGCAAACAUUUAACUGCCGACAACGACAGUUACGAAUACGCCUUAGCUGCGUAAUCGCGUGGCGCCGUUCCGCCGCUCUGAGGGGCGGUUGCCGCGUUGCAAUCAGGGCUGGCUGUUCACCCGCUUCCGGCGGGCGGGCAGUGAGAUAUUCCGGAAUACGGAGGGGCCGCUUGCCGGGCCGCCCAGCCCUUCCCGACAAUAUAAUGCACGGCUAAACCUGUAGACGUUUGUAUUUCGCGUAUUAGGACGCGGGUUCGACUCCCGCCACCUCCAAUU
rnacentral:tmRNA from 1 species